rnacentral:pre_miRNA from 1 species
AAUGGCACUGGUAGAAUUCACGGUUUGCUUUAAAAACUCCGUGUUCUUCCGGUGGCAUCUA